GACGAACGCUGGCGGCGUGCUUAACACAUGCAAGUCGAACGGGCCUUGUCCACUUUUUUUUUGGGGGUAGGGUUAGUGGCGCACGGGUGAGUAACACGUGAGUAACCUGCCCCUAACUUCUGGAUAGACGCUUGAAAGGGUGGCUAAUACGUGGUGAUAUGGCAUGCUCGCAUGGGUGGGCUUGGAACGAUUCGACCGGUUCUGGUUGUUUGGGUGGGAGAUGGGCUCGCGGCCUAUCAGCUUGUUGGUGGGGCGAUGGCCUGCGAAGGCGUUGACGGGUAGCCGGCCUGGGAGGGUGGGCGGUCACACUGGGACUGAGUGACGGCCCAGACUCCUACGGGAGGCAGCAGUGGGGAAUAUUGCGCAAUGGGCGCAAGCCUGAUGCAGCGACGCCGCGUGAGGGAAGGAGGCCUUGGGGUUGUGAACCUCUUGCGCCAGGGAAGAAGGUCCUGCUCUUUGUGGUGGGGUUGACGGUAGCUGUGUUAAUGAAGCGCCGGCUAACUACGUG
rnacentral:rRNA from 1 species